rnacentral:sRNA from 1 species
AUAGACAGCACUACGGGAUUAAAAUGGGAACAUUUGAAAAAAGAAUAAACUUAAUAAUAGUUCCAAGUGGUUUACAUUUGGACAAAAAAUUAGACCGUAGUUUCAAGCUAC